GUUGUACUCCCUCCGUCCGAAAAAGCUUGUCCCUCAAAUGGAUGUAUCUAGCACCAAGUUAGUGCUAGAUACAUCCAUUUGAGGAACAAGCUUGGGACAAGUUUUUCCGGACGGAGGGAGUAUGCU
rnacentral:pre_miRNA from 1 species